GGGCCCGUAGCUCAGUUGGUAGAGCAGCGCCUUUGCAAGGCGAAGGUCAGCGGUUCGAAUCCGCUCGGGUCCACCA
rnacentral:tRNA from 1 species